UCCCUGGUGGUCCAGUGGCUAAGAUUCUGUGCUCCCAAUGCAGAGGGCACAGGUUCGAUCCCUGGUUGGGGAA
rnacentral:tRNA from 1 species